GACGAACGCUGGCGGCGUGCCUAAUACAUGCAAGUAGAACGCACAGUUUAUACCGUAGCUUGCUACACCAUAGACUGUGAGUUGCGAACGGGUGAGUAACGCGUAGGUAACCUGCCUGGUAGCGGGGGAUAACUAUUGGAAACGAUAGCUAAUACCGCAUAAUAUUAAUUAUUGCAUGAUAAUUAAUUGAAAGGUGCAAUUGCACCACUACCAGAUGGACCUGCGUUGUAUUAGCUAGUAGGUGAGGUAACGGCUCACCUAGGCGACGAUACAUAGCCGACCUGAGAGGGUGAUCGGCCACACUGGGACUGAGACACGGCCCAGACUCCUACGGGAGGCAGCAGUAGGGAAUCUUCGGCAAUGGACGAAAGUUUGACCGAGCAACGCCGCGUGAGUGAAGAAGGUUUUCGGAUCGUAAAGCUCUGUUGUAAGAGAAGGACGGGUGUGAGAGUGGAAAGUUCACACUGUGACGGUAUCUUACCAGAAAGGGACGGCUAACUACGUG
rnacentral:rRNA from 1 species